rnacentral:rRNA from 1 species
CCUACGGGGGGCUGCAGUGGGGGAUAUUGCACAAUGGGGGAAACCCUGAUGCAGCGACGCCGCGUGGGGGAAGAAGUAUUUCGGUAUGUAAAGCCCUAUCAGCAGGGGAGAAGAAAUGACGGUAACUGAGUAAGAAGCACCGGCUAAAUACGUGCCAGCAGCCGCGGUAAUACGUAUGGUGCAAGCGUUAUCCGGAGUUACUGGGUGGAAAGGGAGCGCAGGCGGCACGGCAAGCCUGAUGUGAAAGCCAGCGGCCCAACCGCGGGACGGCAUUGGAAACUACCGGGCUGGAGUGCCGGAGAGGUAGGCGGAAUUCGUGGUGUAGCGGUGAAAUGCGUAGAUAUUAGGAGGAACACCAGUGGCGAAGGCGGCCUACUGGACGGUGACUGACGCUGAGGCUCGAAAGCGUGGGGAGCGAACAGGAUUAGAUACCCCAGUAGUC